rnacentral:rRNA from 1 species
GGCGCAGCCUGACGGCACGCCGAGCCCGCCGCGUGAGUGAUGAAGGUCUUCGGAUCGUAAAACUCUGUUAUUAGGGAAGAACAAAUGUGUAAGUAACUAUGCACGUCUUGACGGUACCUAAUCAGAAAGCCACGGCUAACUACGUGCCAGCAGCCGCGGUAAUACGUAGGUGGCAAGCGUUAUCCGGAAUUAUUGGGCGUAAAGCGCGCGUAGGCGGUUUUUUAAGUCUGAUGUGAAAGCCCACGGCUCAACCGUGGAGGGUCAUUGGAAACUGGAAAACUUGAGUGCAGAAGAGGAAAGUGGAAUUCCAUGUGUAGCGGUGAAAUGCGCAGAGAUAUGGAGGAACACCAGUGGCGAAGGCGACUUUCUGGUCUGUAACUGACGCUGAUGUGCGAAAGCGUGGGGAKCAAACAGGAUUAGAUACCCUGGGUAGUCCA